CUACGUGCCAGCAGCCGCGGUAAUACGGAGGGUGCGAGCGUUAAUCGGAAUAACUGGGCGUAAAGGGCACGCAGGCGGUGACUUAAGUGAGGUGUGAAAGCCCCGGGCUUAACCUGGGAAUUGCAUUUCAUACUGGGUCGCUAGAGUACUUUAGGGAGGGGUAGAAUUCCACGUGUAGCGGUGAAAUGCGUAGAGAUGUGGAGGAAUACCGAAGGCGAAGGCAGCCCCUUGGGAAUGUACUGACGCUCAUGUGCGAAAGCGUGGGGAGCAAACAGGAUUAGAUACCCUGGUAGUCCACGCUGUAAACGAUGUCGAUUUGGGGGUUGAACUAUAAGUUUGGCGCCCGUAGCUAACGUGAUAAAUCGACCGCCUGGGGAGUACGGCCGCAAGGUUAAAACUCAAAUGAAUUGACGGGGGCCCGCACAAGCGGUGGAGCAUGUGGUUUAAUUCGAUGCAACGCGAAGAACCUUACCCGGGAU
rnacentral:rRNA from 1 species